rnacentral:rRNA from 1 species
UACGGAGGGUGCGAACGUUAAUCGGAAUCACUGGGCGUAAAGCGCGCGUAGGCGGUCUGUUAAGUGGGAUGUGAAAUCCCCGGGCUUAACCUGGGAACUGCAUUUGAAACUGGCGGGCUUGAGUAUGGCAGAGGGGGGUGGAAUUCCGCGUGUAGCAGUGAAAUGCGUAGAGAUGCGGAGGAACACCGAUGGCGAAGGCAGCCCCCUGGGCCAAUACUGACGCUCAGGCACGAAAGCGUGGGGAGCAAACAGG